rnacentral:misc_RNA from 1 species
GUUGGGAUAAUUCUGUAGUUCCAUCAAUGGAAUCACAUAAUCAUGCUUAGAAAUUUGGAUGUCUUUGUAGUUGCCAGAGAUGUGGGAAAAGGAAGGGAAAAUCUAGUAUUUACUUAUUUUACAGAAGAUUCAUGACAAAACUGUAACUUCUUCUUUGCUGGGUUUGAGGGAAUGUGAAAGUUUUUAUUGUGAUUGUUAUUUUUAUCAUUAUUAUUAUUUA